rnacentral:lncRNA from 1 species
GCCCGUUUAAACGAAUGAAAUUAUAAUUCUCCUGGUAUAAACCACCCAUCAAUGUAGACAUAAAACCAAUACUUGCACCAAAUAACCAAGUAUAAUCAAUACUUGUACCAAAUAUCCAAGUAUAACCAAUACUUGUACCAAAUAUCCAAGUAUACAUAUAUACACUCUGAAUAUACACGCCAUAAAAGGCUAUAAUAAAUACCAAAGACUUUGUAAAGUGGAUAGUCGCACGACAACGCCGAUGCUCUAUAUUUAAUAAGAAAUAAACACAAUUCAUACAUAUAUAUCUACACAUAUAAUAUAUAAUUCAAACAUCAGUAUCAAACAAAAACUCUCCAAAUAAAAAAGCUUAAUAAACUUUAACCAGAAUUAAAAUUUACCAAGAAAAUUCGACUGCUCAGAUUGACGAUGUCGUGCUGAAUGAUUACAUAGGCAAUAAAAUACCGCGAAAAUAAUUUUGAAGCGGGAAAACAUUACGCCCUCUAUGCUACAUAUGAUGAAACACCCAGGAGAAAUUAAUUUCAUUCUAAUGCACUGCCCGUUUAAACGAAUGAAAUUAUAAUUCUCCUGGUAUAAACCACCCAUCAAUGUAGACAUAAAACCAAUACUUGCACCAAAUAACCAAGUAUAAUCAAUACUUGUACCAAAUAUCCAAGUAUAACCAAUACUUGUACCAAAUAUCCAAGUAUACAUAUAUACAC